AGUACCGUGAGGGAAAGGUGAAAAGAACCCCGGGAGGGGAGUGAAAUAGAACCUGAAACCCUGCACUUACAAGCUGUGGGAGCACAUUACUUGUGUGACCGCGUACUUUUUGUAGAACGGGCCAACGAGUUACGUUAAGUAGCAAGGUUAAGCACUUAAGGUGUGGAGCCGUAGCGAAAGCGAGUCUUAAAUGGGCGAUUAAGUUACUUGGCGUAGACCCGAAACCGGGCGACCUAUCCAUGAGCAGGUUGAAGCGAAAGUAAAAUUUCGUGGAGGACCGAACCCACGAGCGUUGAAAAGCUCGGGGAUGACUUGUGGAUAGCGGUGAAAUUCCAAUCGAGCCCGGAGAUAGCUGGUUCUCCCCGAAAUAGCUUUAGGGCUAGCCUCAAGCGUAGAGAAACGGAGGUAGAGCACUGAAUGUCCUAGGGGGUAUUGCACUUACCGAAGACUAUCAAACUCCGAAUGCCGUUUUCUUUUACUUGGGAGUCAGACUGUGGGUGAUAAGAUUCAUAGUCAAAAGGGCAACAGCCCAGAUCGUCAGCUAAGGUCCCUAAAUGUACGUUAAGUGGUAAAGGAUGUGGGAUUGCACAGACAACCAGGAUGUUGGCUUAGAAGCAGCCACUCAUUUAAAGAGUGCGUAAUAGCUCACUGGUCGAGUGAUCCUGCGCCGAAAAUUUCCGGGGCUAAAACGUACUACCGAAGCUACGGCAUCAUUUAUGAUGGGUAGGGGAGCUUCGUAUGCAGGCUGAAGCAUGACCGUAAGGACAUGUGGACAGUAUACGAGUGAGAAUGUUGGCAUGAGUAGCGAGACGUGGGUGAGAAUCCCACGGGCCGUAAACCCAAGGUUUCCAGGGGAAGGUUCGUCCGCCCUGGGUUAGUCGGGACCUAAGCCGAGGCCGAAAGGCGUAGGUGAUGGACAACAGGUUGAUAUUCCUGUACCGCCAAUAAGCGUUUGAGAGAUGGAGUGACACAGUAGGAUAAGCUAACCGUACUGUUGGUUAUGUACGGCUAAGCAUUGAGGCAGUCUAAAUAGGCAAAUCCGUUUAGACAAUGCUAGGAUGUGAUGGGGAAGCCCUUCGGGGCGAAGUAGCUGAUUUCACACUGUCAAGAAAAGCUUCUAUCGAGUUUAAAGGCGCCCGUACCGUAAACCGACACAGGUGGGUGAGGAGAGUAUCCUAAGGCCAGCGAGAGAACUAUUGUUAAGGAACUCGGCAAAAUGACCCCGUAACUUAGGGAGAAGGGGUGCCUGUCUAUGACAGGCCGCAGAGAAUAGGCCCAAGCGACUGUUUACCAAAAACACAGGUUUCUGCUAAGUCGCAAGACGAUGUAUAGGAGCUGACGCCUGCCCGGUGCUGGAAGGUUAAGGGGAUCUGUUAGAGCAAUCGAAGCAGUGAACUUAAGCCCCAGUAAACGGCGGCCGUAACUAUAACGGUCCUAAGGUAGCGAAAUUCCUUGUCGGGUAAGUUCCGACCCGCACGAAAGGCGUAACGAUUUGGGCACUGUCUCAACAAUAGACUCGGUGAAAUUGUAAUCCCGGUGAAGAUGCCGGGUACCUGCGACAGGACGGAAAGACCCCAUGGAGCUUUACUGUAGCUUGACGUUGGGUCUUGGUACUACAUGUACAGGAUAGGUGGGAGACUAUGAAGCAUGGACGCCAGUCUGUGUGGAGUCAUCCUUGGGAUACCACCCUUGUAGUACUGGGAUCCUAACCAUAGGCCUUGAAUCAGGUCUUGGAACACCGUCAGGUGGGCAGUUUGACUGGGGCGGUCGCCUCCUAAAAAGUAACGGAGGCGCUCAAAGGUUUCCUCAGCACGGUCGGAAAUCGUGCGAAGAGUGUAAAGGCAAAAGGAAGCUUGAUUGCAAGACAUACAGGUCGAGCAAGGACGAAAGUCGGACUUAGUGAUCCGGUGGUACCGCAUGGAAGGGCCAUCGCUCAACGGAUAAAAGCUACCCUGGGGAUAACAGGCUUAUCUCCCCCAAGAGU
rnacentral:rRNA from 1 species